ACGGGAGGCAGCAGUCGGGAAUAUUGCGCAAUGGAGGAAACUCUGACGCAGUGACGCCGCGUAUAGGAAGAAGGUUUUAGGAUUGUAAACUAUUUUAGACAGGGAAGAAAAAAGACUGUACCUGUAGAAUAAGCUCCGGCUAACUACGUGCCAGCAGCCGCGGUAAUACGUAGGGAGCAAGCGUUAUCCGGAAUUAUUGGGUGUAAAGGGUGCGUAGACGGGAAUUUAAGUUGGUUGUGAAAUCCCUCGGCUUAACUGAGGAACUGCAACCAAAACUGGAUUUCUUGAGUGCAGGAGAGGAAAGCGGAAUUCCUAGUGUAGCGGUGAAAUGCGUAGAUAUUAGGAGGAACACCAGUGGCGAAGGCGGCUUUCUGGACUGUAACUGACGUUGAGGCACGAAAGUGUGGGGAGCAAACAGGAUUAGAUACCCUGGUA
rnacentral:rRNA from 1 species